rnacentral:rRNA from 1 species
CCGCAUGGUGUGAGUAAAGCUCGUAGUUGGAUUUCGGGCGUGUCGCGUUGCCCCUGUGGUGAUACUUGCGUCCUGGCGCCUUCCUGCCGGGGACGGGCUCCUGGGCUUUCUGUCUGGGACUCAGAGUCGGCGACGCUACUUUGAGAAAAUUAUAGUGGUCAAAGCAGGCCUACACUCCUAAACUUUGUCAUGGAAUAACACGAUAGGACUCUGGCCUAUCCUGUUGGUCUGUAGGACCGGAAUAAUGAUUAAGAGGGACAGGCGGGGGCACUCGUAUUUCAUUGGCGGAGGUGAAAUUCUUGGAUUUAUGAAAGACGAACCACUGCAAAUGCAUUUGCCAGUGAUGUUUUCAUUAAUCAAGAACGAAAGUUGGGGGCUCGAAGACAUUACAUACCGUCCUAGUCUCAACCAUAAACCAUGCCGACUACGGAUUGGAGGGCGUUGAUUUUAUGACCCCGCCAGAACCAUGAGAUACAUCGAAGUCUUUGGGUUCCGGGGCGAGUAUGGUCGCAAUGCUGAAACUUAAAGGAAUUGAACCACCGGCACCGCCACCCGCGGAACCUGCGGCUUAAUCUGACUCAAAAUCAGCACGCUUACACUGACCAGACAUAGAGAGAAUUGACAUACUGAGAUCUCUUUCUUGAUUCUGUUGCUGGUGGUGCAUGAGCAUGCUUAGUUAUUGGUCUGCCUUGUCACGUUGAUUACAGUUACGAUAGAGAACUCAACCCUCUACAUAGUCAUUGUCGCUCCAGCUGCUGGCCGACUUCUUGUCUUGACUAUGGAGUUUAGCCAAUGUACACAUGAUGCAAUAUCACGUCUGUGUGCUCCUUACAUGAUCUGGGGAGCAUGCGCGCUACACUGACGAGUGCAAAGACCCUAUCUUCGAGCGACAAGAUGCAGUAUAAUCUCUCGAAUGAGCACUCGAUGCUGGAGGAUAGAUCGAUUGCUAAUUAAUUGAUACUUCAACGAGAUGACUACUCAGCACUGAGUCAUCAUACUCGCCCUUGAUUUACUUACCCUCGCCCGUUCGUUCGUACUACCGAUCGCUCCGUACUACUUGGGUAGUCCUCUGGUGAACGUAGUCAGACUCGGCUGAAUAGCCGAGUGGGCACCUCCUG